rnacentral:rRNA from 1 species
AACGAACGCUGGCGGCAUGCCUAACACAUGCAAGUCGAACGAAGUCUUCGGACUUAGUGGCGCACGGGUGCGUAACGCGUGGGAAUCUGCCCUUUGGUACGGAAUAACUCAGGGAAACUUGUGCUAAUACCGUAUGAUGUCUUCGGACCAAAGAUUUAUCGCCAAAGGAUGAGCCCGCGUAGGAUUAGCUAGCUGGUGAGGUAAAGGCUCACCAAGGCGACGAUCCUUAGCUGGUCUGAGAGGAUGAUCAGCCACACUGGGACUGAGACACGGCCCAGACUCCUACGGGAGGCAGCAGUGGGGAAUAUUGGACAAUGGGGGCAACCCUGAUCCAGCAAUGCCGCGUGAGUGAUGAAGGCCUUAGGGUUGUAAAGCUCUUUUACCCGGGAAGAUAAUGACUGUACCGGGAGAAUAAGCCCCGGCUAACUCCGUGCCAGCCGCCGCCGUAA